rnacentral:rRNA from 1 species
AGUGAACGCUGGCGGUAGGCCUAACACAUGCAAGUCGAACGGCAGCACAGUAAGAGCUUGCUCUUACGGGUGGCGAGUGGCGGACGGGUGAGGAAUACAUCGGAAUCUACUUUUUCGUGGGGGAUAACGUAGGGAAACUUACGCUAAUACCGCAUACGACCUACGGGUGAAAGCAGGGGAUCUUCGGACCUUGCGCGAUUGAAUGAGCCGAUGUCGGAUUAGCUAGUUGGCGGGGUAAAGGCCCACCAAGGCGACGAUCCGUAGCUGGUCUGAGAGGAUGAUCGGCCACACUGGAACUGAGACACGGUCCAGACUCCUACGGGAGGCAGCAGUGGGGAAUAUUGGACAAUGGGAGCAAGCCUGAGCCAGCCAUACCGCGUGGGUGAAGAAGGCCUUCGGGUUGUAAAGCCCUUUUGUUGGGAAAGAAAAGCAGCAGGUUAAUACCCCGCUGUUCUGACGGUACCCAAAGAAGAAGCACCGGCUAACUUCGUG